rnacentral:rRNA from 1 species
GGUAACGAUAGCAAGAGGGACACACCUGUACCCAUGCCGAACACAGAAGUUAAGCCUCUUAACGCCGAUGGUACUUGGUUGGUAACGACCUGGGAGAGUAGG